UGGCCCGUGGUCCAACGGUACGAUAUCUCUGCUCCCUGACCCUAAACUGCUGGUGGUUGGAGAAGAUGUGGGUUCAAUUCCCGCCGGGUCGC